rnacentral:rRNA from 1 species
GACGAACGCUGGCGGCGUGCUUAACACAUGCAAGUCGAACGAGGAUGUUGACUUCGGUUGACAUUCGAGUGGCGGACGGGUGAGUAACGCGUGAGCAAUCUGUCCUACAGAGGGGGAUAACAACUGGAAACAGUUGCUAAUACCGCAUAAGACCACGAGGCCGCAUGGCCAUGAGGUAAAAGGAGCAAUCCGCUGUAGGGUGAGCUCGCGUCCGAUUAGAUAGUUGGUGAGGUAACGGCCCACCAAGUCUGCGAUCGGUAGCCGACCUGAGAGGGUGACCGGCCACACUGGGACUGAGACACGGCCCAGACUCCUACGGGAGACAGCAGUUAGGGAUAUUCGUCAAUGGGGGAAACCCUGAACGAGCAAUGCCGCGUGAGUGAUGACGGUCCUUUGGAUUGUAAACUUCUAUUGUUAGGGAAGAACGACCUAGGUAGGAAAUGACCUAGGAGUGACGGUACCUUUCAAGUAAAGCUCCGGCUAACUACGUGCCAGCAGCCGACGG